CACCUCCUCCACCUCACGCCACAGCAGAAACCCUAAGCAGUGUCACAGGGAGUCACAAUCCCUACCCUGAACCUUGCUGUCCCACAGCACCAUCUGUGGGAGGGUCACCCCUGUCCCUGGACACUGUGCCUGUGCUGGGAGCACUGAGCCCGAGUUCAUGGUGGGGUCACAUGACUCACUCCAUCAGCUGACGUCGGGAGCUGUAACCACCACCCUCCAUCGUCUGUUUUUAUUAUAUGUGGGACUGUUUUAUGUGUUUUAUUACAUGUGGGACCCUUGUGCUGGCUGGGAGUGGUGUGUUGACUUUUCUUACACAACCAAAUGAUGGCCAUGGCCAAGGUGGUGCCGGGUUCACUGCUUGGCGGUGUCACCUCUGCCCACCACACCCCUCCUCACCAGGGAGGGACCUGGUAUUUAACAGGUGCCUGACAGCCCAGUUCGAACCGUGCCAAGGACGGUGAUCGAGAGUGCUGCCAGCAUCGCCUCCUCUGGGAGUUUUUGGGCAGGUUUGCUCACAGACCACUGAGGAUGUGUGACCCCCACCAAGGCAUGCCACGACCACACCAUCCAGUUUGCCCUCCUGGUCCUCCGGGACAUCCUGGUUCCGGCACAGGUCCCAACCCUGGUGGCCCUGCAGUCUGCCCCCGUCCACCUGGCCAUGGGCAUCCUCCCCAUGGGCACCCCCAUCCAGGACCACCUCAUGGCCAUCAGAAGCACCAUAAGAAGCACCAUAAAGAGAAGCACUCGAAGCACCAUGGAGACAAGCACUCCAGUGGCUCAAGCAGCAGCUCUGACUCGGACUGAACAUCUGGCAUCUCCCACCUUCAGCAAAACACAAAGCCAAACACCUUGUGGGAACUCCCUGCAUGUAGCUCUACUCCCUUCCCCUUUCCCUUACAGCAGUGUUUUACCUGCUGAGUGAUUUUCUCGUGUUUCCAUUGUAAAUGAUUUGUCCUGGAAUCUCUUAAGUCAUUGGACAGCAUCUCCAUCGUCUGUCUUUUGGGAGAGCCUGCUGAAAGUCAUCAUGUGCUUGU